rnacentral:rRNA from 1 species
UACAGAGGGUGCAAGCGUUAAUCGGAAUUACUGGGCGUAAAGCGCGCGUAGGCGGUUUUGCAAGUCGGGUGUGAAAGCCCCGGGCUCAACCUGGGAACUGCAUUCGAGACUGCAUUACUGGAGUAUGGGAGAGGGCAGUGGAAUUUCCGGUGUAGCGGUGAAAUGCGUAGAUAUCGGAAGGAACAUCAGUGGCGAAGGCGACUGCCUGGCCCAAUACUGACGCUCAUGUGCGAAAGCGUGGGGAGCAAACAGG